rnacentral:miRNA from 1 species
AACAAGUUUGGAACAAGCUGUUAACAACUUGUAACAAGCUUGAUGGCAUUAUCAGACUUGUUACAAGGUUCUAACAAGUCUGAUACAGUCGUGAUAUAACAAGAAUGUUACAAGUUUGACGACACAAGUUUGCAACAAUAUUGUUAUAUCAUGACUGUAUCGGACUUGUUGGAACAACCUUGCCACAAGUCUGAUAAUAUCAACAAGGUUGUUACAAGUUGUUAACAGCUUGUUCCAAACUUGUU